GGGGUCGUUACGGAUUCGACAGGCAUUAUGAGGUACAUUCUGCGACUCAUCGGCAGAUGUAAAAAUGCCAGUUAAAUAUAACUGCAAAAAAUACAAAUUCUUACGCUGUAGCUGCCUAAAAACCAGCUCGCGUGAUCUCUACAGGAUUGCUUGUGUUUUGCUAGAGGUUUCAUUGAUUAACAAGCUACAUUUGACUAUUGCCUAGCUAGUCAAAAAGAGAUUUAUAGGCUCGCUUAAUCUAGGUUUGAGUUAUGUAUCGAGCUUGAGUUAAAAUAAAGACAUAACCUAUGGUUGUAGACGAAUGUAUUGGCAGGUGUUUGGACGUGGGUUCGACUCCCACCGGCUCCA
rnacentral:tmRNA from 1 species